AGAGUUUGAUUAUGGCUCAGGAUGAACGCUGGCGGCGUGCUUAACACAUGCAAGUCGAACGGAGUUUUUAAACGGAAGUUUUCGGAUGGAAGUUUAGAAACUUAGUGGCGGACGGGUGAGUAACGCGUGGGUAACCUGCCUCAUACAGGGGGAUAACAGUUAGAAAUGACUGCUAACACCGCAUAAUAUAGCGAAACCGCAUGAUUUUGCUAUCAAAUAUUUAUAGGUAUGAGAUGGGCCCGCGUCUGAUUAGCUAGUUGGUGGGGUAAAAGCCUACCAAGGCGACGAUCAGUAGCCGGCUUGAGAGAGUGACCGGCCACAUUGGGACUGAGACACGGCCCAAACUCCUACGGGAGGCAGCAGUGGGGAAUAUUGGACAAUGGGGGAAACCCUGAUCCAGCGACGCCCGCGUGAGUGAAGAAGUAUUUCGGUAUGUAAAGCUCUAUCAGCAGGGAAGAUAAUGACAGUACCUGACUAAGAAGCCCCGGCUAACUACGUGCCAGCAGCAGC
rnacentral:rRNA from 1 species